UGUAGCAAGCUUUCGAGGAACAGUAGUGGUCGGUCGGAGCCGCCAAGUCAUCACUUGCGACGCAAUGAAUAAAUCCAGUAUAUCUUUGUUUGUGAGUCAACAAAAUAUAGUGAAGCACCACCCAGGUCCAGGCCCGUCUUCAGAACGGUUUUGUCAGACACUUACCAUGAUCUAAGGGCCGGGGCAGCCCUGUCCAACUAGUACGGGCAGGUCACAGUACCUAACGGGCCUGGCGUAAUAUCAUUUCUGGAGGCCGGCCAAAACUGAGUAGCCCCUGCCUGGGUCACUUUGUGAUGGUGGCUAACACCCACCUCCUAUACAAUGGACAUCAAGCUCUGUCAGCUGACCAUCCUGUGCCAGAGAGAGCUUCCUUUGCUCCUAACAAGAAUCUGAAUGCCGAGGAAUGGAAGGAAAGUAAUUAACAUAUGGAAUACUUGCCAGUAUACCGAUUUAGUCACUGCAAGGGCAAGACUGGAGAAUCCCUGGAUAAAUAAGUUAAUGAUGGAUCCAAUCCACGUCAUCAGUUCUUUUGGCUGCUCAAGGCAGAAUACCUCAUUGGCUGUUUCCUCUUUUAUAUACGAUUAUUAAUUUCAUUACAUUAGUAAUCUUAUUUCUUAAUUCAGUUUUCAUUACCUAUGUGACUUCAGUUUCCUAGUAUAAAUAAAUUAUUAAUAUACCGUAUAUAUCUAAGUUUAUUGAUUUAUCUAGAUAUAAGUAAUAAGUUAUAUGUUAUCUAUAGUCUAAGUAAAAGUGUAUUUUGAAACGUCUUUAAAAGAGUAACUUAAGUAGUAAAUAUUAAUGUACCUAUUUAUUUUUAUAUGCAACUUGAAAAAUUAGAAUUAAGUAACUAAUAACAUAGUAAAGUUAUCAAGUAUAUUUUGAUUUUAUUAAUUUUAUUAACAAACAUUUGAGUGAUUUUUAUUCCAUUCUAGUUUUUUUGCACUUAAAAAUUAUUUAACAUCUGUAUUUUUAUAAAAUAAAUUGAUACUUUUCA